AGUGAACGCUGGCGGUAGGCCUAACACAUGCAAGUCGAACGGCAGCACAGUAAGAGCUUGCUCUUACGGGUGGCGAGUGGCGGACGGGUGAGGAAUACAUCGGAAUCUACUUUUUCGUGGGGGAUAACGUAGGGAAACUUACGCUAAUACCGCAUACGACCUACGGGUGAAAGCAGGGGAUCUUCGGACCUUGCGCGAUUGAAUGCGCCGAUGUCGGAUUAGCUAGUUGGCGGGGUAAAGGCCCACCAAGGCGACGAUCCGUAGCUGGUCUGAGAGGAUGGUCAGCCACACGGGAACUGAGACACGGUCCAGACUCCUACGGGAGGCAGCAGUGGGGAAUAUUGGACAAUGGGCGCAAGCCUGAUCCAGCCAUACCGCGUGGGUGAAGAAGGCCUUCGGGUUGUAAAGCCCUUUUGUUGGGAAAGAAAAGCAGCAGGUUAAUACCCCGCUGUUCUGACGGUACCCAAAGAAUAAGCACCGGCUAACUUCGUG
rnacentral:rRNA from 1 species